rnacentral:rRNA from 1 species
UACGAAGGGAGCUAGCGUUGUUCGGAAUCACUGGGCGUAAAGCGCACGUAGGCGGAUGUGUCAGUCAGGGGUGAAAUCCCGGAGCUCAACUUCGGAACUGCCUUUGAUACAGCACGUCUUGAGUCCGAUAGAGGUGGGUGGAAUUCCUAGUGUAGAGGUGAAAUUCGUAGAUAUUAGGAAGAACACCGGUGGCGAAGGCGGCCCACUGGCUCGAUACUGACGCUGAGGUGCGAAAGCGUGGGGAGCAAACGGG